GACGAACGCUGGCGGCGUGCCUAAUACAUGCAAGUAGAACGCACAGUUUAUACCGUAGCUUGCUACACCAUAGACUGUGAGUUGCGAACGGGUGAGUAACGCGUAGGUAACCUGCCUGGUAGCGGGGGAUAACUAUUGGAAACGAUAGCUAAUACCGCAUAAUAUUGAUUAUUGCAUGAUAAUUGAUUGAAAGAUGCUAUUGCAUCACUACCAGAUGGACCUGCGUUGUAUUAGCUAGUAGGUGAGGUAACGGCUCACCUAGGCGACGAUACAUAGCCGACCUGAGAGGGUGAUCGGCAACACUGGGACUGCGACACGGCCCAGACUCCUACGGGAGGCAGCAGUAGGGAAUCUUCGGCAAUGGACGAAAGUCUGACCGAGCAACGCCGCGUGAGUGAAGAAGGGUUUCGGAUCGUAAAGCUCUGUUGUAAGAGAAGAACGGGUGUGAGAGUGGAAAGUUCACACUGUGACGGUAUCUUACCAGAAAGGGACGGCUAACUACGUG
rnacentral:rRNA from 1 species